AUUGAACGCUGGCGGCAGGCCUAACACAUGCAAGUCGAACGAGUGGCGGACGGGUGAGUAAUGUCUGGGAAACUGCCUGAUGGAGGGGGAUAACUACUGGAAACGGUAGCUAAUACCGCAUAACAUCAGAUGUGCCCAGGUGGGAUUAGCUUGUUGGUGGGGUAACGGCUCACCAAGGAGACGAUCCCUAGCUGGUCUGAGAGGAUGACCAGCCACACUGUAACUGAGAAACGGGCCAGACUCCUACGGGAGGCAGCAGGGGGGAAUAUUGCACAAUGGGCGAAAGCCUGAUGCAGCCACGCCGCGUGUAUGAAGAAGGCCUUCGGGUUGUAAAGUACUUUCAGUGGGGAGGCGUUACCCGCAGAAGAAGCACCGGCUAACUCCGUGCCAGCAGCCGCGGUAAUUC
rnacentral:rRNA from 1 species